UAAAGAGAAAAAAAUGUUUUCAUUCCAUUUUAAAAAAAACCAGACAACUCACAGUUCUCUUCCCCCCUUUUCGUCAGACACCACCGCCGGCCACCAACGCCGGGGCUCCGCCGCGAGAGGUUGUCUUGACAAGAAAAGGGGGUUUUUAACCCCGUUCACAACCCCCUCUAAAGAUCUACCCUUUCAGUCCCGAAAAGUCGAAAAAGGAGGGGUUUUUUCUACCCCUUUUCAGUCCGAUUCCAUCGCCGAAGGUGGUCUCUGGCGACGGGCUUUCGAGACCGGUAAGUGUCCCUUCUCUUUUUCUUUUUCGUUUUGUUUUUGUGUUAAUAGAGUAAAACAAUAACAAAGAAAAUAAAAUAAGAAAACAGAGAAAGAUGCGCACGAACAGAAGAAAAAGAAUACUAGAGUCAACCUUUUUGUUUUUUUUUCUUUUCAUUCGCUGGUUCCUUGUAAGGAAAAAAUACAAAGGUAAGGUUUUUUGCAUUUAUAUCCUAAUUACAAUGCAUUUUUGUAAUUUUUCACUGCUCUCCUCUGCUAGUUGUCCCUUCUUUUCUUAUUUGCAGGUGCUUGGUGGCAGGCUACAAAGGCAGAGGGUAUGGGCGGAUGGGACAAGGCGAACGGCACUAGUCAGAUGAUGCGACGGCGGCAGAAGACCUAGGUGGCUAAGGGUGAUGAGUCUCUCGAAGAAGCAUAUUCUUUAAGUGCAAGCAAACAAGUUCCUAAUAUUUCUCAGCCAAGACGAAGCAAGAGAUCUAAGCGGAAGCAUGCUGUAUAAGAAGAUUUUACACUGAAUUAUUUUAGUUUAUGUCACCUGUGGAGCCACUUGUUGACAUAUUUACUUACAGUCACAGUCAAGGCUUCUAGGUGUGCUGAACUUGAAGUGAACUGCUGGCACUAUGGAAAAAAAAAACACAAAUGCAUUAGAAGUUAGAAGCUACAAGUAAAGCCUUUUUCAUGUAGUUGUAUGCGAUGCAUUGAAUGCUAAAACGAAGAAGGGGGAGGGGGGGAUAGGGGGUGAAGAUUGCCUGAGUCAAUAGCUCGAACACUGAUAUCGGAUCCCUGGAGUUGAUAAUGUAUAAGCAGGAGCCAUGCUAGUAGAAGGUAGAUCAGAACAUGGUCUCUCAUCUUAUGUAUAGGUAGUGACAUAUGCUGCAUGCUUUGAUUAUCUUACAAGAAUGAAGGAGCAUUUUAUUGAUGCAUUUUUUUGUAAUCAUAACCAAACUUGAAAAUAGAUUUAAGAAUGUUUGUUAAAGGUGCUGGAGAAUCAUAUGGCAUUAUGAACGAGUUUGACAAAAUCUGUGUUUAUGGUUAUUGUGGAUUUGACUUU